UUCUAUGGCUUGCUAUUAUUUUAAUGGUGUGGAUGGAAACGGCAGCUCAGAUGCCUUAUUUUAAGGUCUUGUGAACACAACCUUUCAUGCGAAGAGACGUGAAGAUCUCAGUGCUGGCCCCCUCAUGUUUUUGAAGGGUCAAGGAUUCAUCCAUAUCUUUGAUGUCAGUCUUUGCCUUCUGGACCAAUUCACAGUCAAGUGUUUGGAUGCUCCGAAACAGGCUUCGACCCGACACGGCUCAACUAGUUAACCUAGGAACACAGGUCAGGUCAGUCGGUUCGAUUAGUACAAAGUGGAAUCUGUUCCUCAUCCAUUAGAUAGUGGGAAUUUAGCUUUGGGGAUAAGGCGAGGUGGAGGAAACAGGUGGUCAACUCAAAUAGGUUGAGCUGUGGAGACAAAUUCCCUUGUCCGCUGCUUUAACUUUCAGAGUCAGACCGGUCUUUUUCUGCCUCUGCCUUUUGCUGCCAAUUCUUAUUAUAGUAUACGAGACUAAACACAGCCAGCUGGGCGACCAACAAGGGUUUUGUCGUCAAUACCUGAUCCACC